AGGGAAGGCGUCCCAGAGAAGGGACAUCUGAGAGGAGUCCUGAGGGACAAGUCAAAGUCAGAUGGGUACGUGAGAAGCUAAUGUUCCGGGAAGGAGGGACGGCGCCCUCGGAAGCCCAGAGCGUGUGCAGUUAAGUCAGCGCUGGGGACAGCCGGGGGAGGGCUGAGGCCCAGACCAGGCCAGGGGCCCUGGGGCCUCGGUGGCAGGGAAGCAGUGAGGACUGUGGCCUGACUCCCGGGACUCCAUUCCCAGGCACCUCCAGGAACAGGCAGUCAGCUCAGCGUGCCGGCCACGGCCACCGCCUGCUCCCAAGGCCCCCCAAAGGGGUUGGCAGGGGCAGGUUGGGGGUUCUGUCUUCUCCAAGCCAGCGACAAGCCCUGGGCCCCUCGAGCGCUUUCUGGUAACAAGGACUAACAGGAACUGAACCCCUGCUAAGUGCCAGCCUGUCCUGUAGACUCGCCGGACACCACAGUGCCCGACAGACAAAAUCCCUGCCUAUAGAAACCCAGCGCCGGGCCACCAUGCCGGCCGCGAGAGGCCGGGUGGGCAGGGAGGCAGGCCAGGGGCACACAGGAUUGGAGAGCGGGCUGCAGGGACGUGCCCCUGGAGGAGGCCGGGGAGCCAGGCUGGCUGGCAGCGGACACCGGGGACAGGGUGCAGGGGCUCACAGACUCUGGGCUCAGACUCACGCACAGCCCCUCAGCCAUCUCUCCUCUACUAGCUCCUUCCCCUAAUCUCUGACAACCCCAAGCUGGUGGCGGGGUUUGUCCUGGCCACCCGAUGUCACUGGCACCUGGCCUUAACAUUAUGAGCUUGCACUGGACUCCUGACCAAAGCCAACCAUGGCUGCCCACUGCCGCUGGGAUGAAACUUGACCCUCCUGCCUCCUCCUCGAGACCCCCUCGGACCCCCUCCCUUCGGCUCUCUCCCUCCACCGCUCCUGGAACAUUCCGGACUUCUCCGCUUUGCAUUUGCUCUUCCAGCUGCCUGGAGUGCCCUUGUCCAGACACCACGCGGCUGGCUCCUUGCAGCCUUCGGGACCUGGCACCUCUGAGGGGUGGCCUCCCUGUCCACGGUGGCCAAAGAAGCCCCCUGAGCUGAGUCACUCUUGAUUACAGGCCCAUGUCUCCAUCCGAAGCGCUCUUUCCUUUAUCAGUUCGUUGCAGAACCUCCCCGCCUCUCGAGGAGGGCCAGCUGGCUUUUAUUCUGACUCUGCAGGGCCGGGCCAUAAAUAUUUCAGGCGUUCUGGGGCACGCUGUGCUGCCACUGCCCAACUCUGCUGUUGUAACCAAAGCUGCCGUCGACCACGCCUGAGCAAAGGCGCUGGGUUACAUCAGAACGUCAUUUGUGGGCCUUGACAUUUAAAUCUUAUAUGAUUCUCAUGCUUCACAGAACAUCCUUCUUAUGUUGCUUUCUUCCCCCCAUUUAAACCUGCAAAAGCCAUCCUCAGAUGGUGGACUGUGAAGCACAGCAGCAGACCAGAUGUGGCCCCGGGGGAGUAGCGGAUCAGCCUUUGCUCCCAAAAAGCUGCUCCCUGAGGUCACAGAUUCUUAACAGUCUUGGUCACUGCUGUGUCCCCGUCCCUAGAGUGCUCCUGGCAGGUAGGAGAUGCCCAGUCAAAACCGACAAGCCAGGGUGACAGAGAAGGGCUUCGACACAUUCAUUAAUUCUUUCAACAAAUAUUCAUCAGGGUGUCCCGUGUGCUGGGCUCUGGGGACAUAGCAGGGGACAGAAUUCGACCCUGGGGCAGUGCGUUAAUGUCCUUGUGGUGAAUCCAAUUCAGUCCCUCCAGAGCUGCCUGCUGGGGCUCCGUGGCUCCUCCUGUCCUAGCUUCUGUGCCCAGCCUGCUGCCUGUCACCCUGCAGGGCUGCCAGGGUGACGGGGGCUCUGUGCUAGCAGCACUGACUGCCUGUCCUGUCCGGUGCUUCUGCUCCACAGAGGGCAGGUGCACUGGCUGGCGGGCCUGGGCUGGGGAGCACAGUGGGCAAUCCCGCUGGGUGAGGCUCCUGCCCACACCGCGCACUGCUGCCCUCCUCCAGGAGCCUGGGUGGAGCUGCGGGACCCUCAAGAGCACGUUCAGGUGCCUCCCGCUUUCCCCUGGCACCUGCCAGGCAACUGGGCACUCGCACAUUAUCACCCUUGAUGGGAGGACGUGGAAUUCCCAGGCACCUGCCUGCCUGUCCUUACUGAGUCCCGCGGCUCUCUGGCUCAACGCCCUUCUUCAGAGUAGAACAGAGGAAGGCCAGGUCCAGAUGCCCUGCCACGCCCCUCUUGGAAGCAUCUACCCAGGUUAAUGCAACCCCAGGGGCAGCCCAGGCAUGGCUCAGCCGCGAAGCAUCCAGAGCACAGCAGCUACCCGCUCUGUGCACCUGCUGCGCCGAGGUAGCCCUGCCUGAGUGGAAAGCUGUUCUUGCGAUGUUGCUUGCGCCCUGGGCAGUGCGGCUGCGCAUAAGGUGGCCACACCCACCACGUGAGCCGAGGGCUGGGCCUUGCUCCAGGGAGUGGGGCUGGCCAUCCUGGGGGAUCACAGGACCCCCAGUACAUGUAACAAGUCAUGUUUCUGAGAGCCCAUCUUGAGCCAGGCACGGGCCAGCACAUGAGCAACAGUCUCAGCUGACGCAAGUCAAGGACGGCUUCCUGUGGGCCAGCUGGCUGCCGAGGGCUUCACACUGGUGAUCACGCCGGCCCUCAACACGGUGCUUCAUCGCCCCCACUGUUCAGAGCCCAGCCCGCUGUCCUGUGGGCUGCAGAGUGACUGACUGGGCUGCAGAGCCUCCUGGGUACCUGCGUGACCCUCCGAGACCUUUGUGACUUCACCUUCGAUGGAGCCAGGGCCUGCUUCCAAGGCACCGCACCUACCACCUGACCAUCCCUGGGGGCUUCUCCUCCGGUGUGGAGAAUUCCGACAGGGACUUCCACAGUCAGUGUGUGACCUUCUUGUACCACGUGGAGGUGGUGAUCAGCUGCCGGGGACUGGAGACUCGUGUGAUCCUGAAACAGAUCCAUCCCACCUCCAUCAUCCAUUCGCCAUCAAGACUUUGGGGAACAUCUGUUUUGGGUCAGGCCUGUUCCAGGUCUCAGAGCCAAGAACAAAACCAAGAGGCCCCUUCCCUGCUGGCACUCGCUGUAUCCCCGGUGGGACCCAGACAGCAGAAACAUUGACGGCCAACCUCUCAGGUGGGACCUGAACACAGGGGCCGCCUCUGUAACCUCAGCGGCCACUUCAGUGGUGACUCCAGCAAUGACAAGGAGCUCCGCAGCGGGGUUCUCGCCCUCCAUGACACUGACCUUGGCCACACCUGGCAGACCGGGGACCAGCGGCCUGGAUGAGUGGCACACAGGGCCACGGAGGGCCUGAGGACGCUGCGCCCUACGCCCAGCUCUGCACGCUGCCGCCGUCCGCCGGCCUGAGAGGCGAGCCAGCCUGUGCCCCUGCAGCUUUGCCCGCCCCAGCUCCACCGAGGACCUCCACCCUGAGCGCGCUAGGAUGCCACCUUCCCUGACUGAUUGAAACCCCUCGCUCCCAGGGACACCCGAAGCCUGCGUGGGGUGGUGGCCCAAGCCUCAAACCAGAAUGGAGGCUCCUCUGAACCCCUUUCCCAUCUCCCACCCACCUCCCCGCACUGGAUCCUCAGGGCACCAAUCACAAAGCGUCCUGCAGACCUGAUGAGCGUCCAGUCAGCGCCAGUGUGGAGGUCGCCCUGGGGACCACUCCUGCCCCACCUGCCCUUGGCCAUCCUGGCUCUGCCUCCCUCUGGUUGAGGCAGCCGGGGUUUCACCCUCAGGCCCCUGUCCCCUCCCCCAGGCGUGGCCAACAGCCACUGUGACUUCUGUGGGCCCCUGGCCCGUCACUUGGGCCAGCCUCGACUCCUCUGUACCCGGCACUGCUGGCUUGGGGAGCGGGCUUCAGCCAGGAGCGUGUGGCCCGAGGCGCGGCUGUGAGCCCUGAGCGCUGUCGCUACCGCCCGCAGCCCCCUGGGACCCGCCAGAGCGCCACCUCACGCUGUGGGCGCCCUGAGCGGUGCUGCCCGCACAGGGCACUCCAGGCGGCCCCCCGUGGGUGACGGGAUGCCCUGGCUCUGUGGGGACCCCACCCGCGCACACUCAGCGGGACAUCUGCCCACUUCAGGAGUCUGGCUGGAAGAUGGCGGCCAGGAGGUGCUGGGCACACGACGUGCCCUCCGCCCUCUGAGUGCAGAGUCCCUGGUGCCACCGGCCCAGCAGGCAUGGACCGGGCAGCAGGUUGAAGAGAUUUCAUUCAACGGCUCAGCAGCUUGAUCUGUAUCUGAGAAACAGGAAGACAGAGGCGGCAUGACCUCCACUGACCUCCAUUCAUCCCCUUGCUUUCCCCCCGUGUUUGGGUGGUAAAUGGACAUCAGGUCCACUCCUUCCAUCUCUUCUCAAAUGUCACCUCCCCCAACAAGCCCUCCCUGGCCACUUCUGUGAAAGGAGUCACCCUUCUCAGUCCCUCUCAUACCCCACACUUUCUUUCCUUCCAAGUAUUUAUAUUCAUCAGUGCCUUAAAUCAUCUUGCUUGGAUCAUUUCUUUGUUUCCUUUUUAUUUAUUAUUUGUUGGUACCAAGGAUUGAACUCAGGGGCACUUGACCACUGAGCCACAUCCCCAGCCUUUUUGUUUAUAUUUUAUUUAGAGACAGGGUCUUGCU